UACGGAGGGUGCGAGCGUUGUCCGGAAUCACUGGGCGUAAAGGGCGCGUAGGCGGCGCGGUAAGCGUGCGGUGAAAGCCCGGGGCUCAACCCCGGGUCGGCCGUGCGGACUGCCGGGCUCGAGCACUGUAGAGGCGGGUGGAAUUCCGGGUGUAGCGGUGGAAUGCGUAGAGAUCCGGAAGAACACCGGUGGCGAAGGCGGUCUGCUGGGCAGUUGCUGACACUGAGGCGCGACAGCGUGGGGAGCAAACAGG
rnacentral:rRNA from 1 species